GGAUUAGAUACCCUGGUAGUCCACGCUGUAAACGAUGUCUAUUAGGAGUCUGUGCCCUUGAGGCGUGGGUUCCAAAGCUAACGCAUUAAAUAGACCGCCUGGGGAGUACGGCCGCAAGGUUAAAACUCAAAUGAAUUGACGGGGGCCCGCACAAGCGGUGGAGCAUGUGGUUUAAUUCGAUGCAACGCGAAGAACCUUACCAUCCCUUGACAUCCACGGAAGCUUUGAGAGAUCGAAGUGUGCCUUCGGGAACCGUGAGACAGGUGCUGCAUGGCUGUCGUCAGCUCGUGCCG
rnacentral:rRNA from 1 species